UUCACACAUCAUUCUCGCAGGGAGCCAUGCAUCCAGAACUGCUGGGAGGAGAGUAUACACACCUGGACUUCUUCCAGCGUCCUCUGCGGCGCGACCUCGGCAGGAGAAUCCUGUAUCGUGACCACUACAUGAGUGGCUGGACAUACAAGACCAUCACCCCUUGAUGACCUCAAAUAUCCACUUGUGUGUGGAGAGGGAAAAAGAAGUCGAGUAUUGGCAACCAUCGGAGUGACGCGUGGCUUUGGGGACCAUGACCUAAAGGCCCAGUGCUCAUCAUUACCCAUCAAGCCAUUCCUUACUCCAGAACCUGAGGUGAGAAUAUUUGACUUAACCACAGCGGACCUGACUGAUGGUGAUGUUCUGAUCCUUGCGACGGAUGGUCUCUGGGAUAUCACCACCAAUGAGAAGGCUGCCUCCAUAGUCACUAAGUCUCUCUCCCAUUUCC